rnacentral:rRNA from 1 species
UACGUAGGGUGCGAGCGUUAAUCGGAAUUACUGGGCGUAAAGCGUGCGCAGGCGGUGAUGUAAGACAGAUGUGAAAUCCCCGGGCUUAACCUGGGAACUGCAUUGGUGACUGGCAGGCUUUGAGUGUGGCAGAGGGAGGUAGAAUUCCACGUGUAGCAGUGAAAUGCGUAGAGAUGUGGAGGAAUACCGAUGGCGAAGGCAGCCUCCUGGGCCAACACUGACGCUCAUGCACGAAAGCGUGGGGAGCAAAC